rnacentral:rRNA from 1 species
AAUGGUAGUGGAGACGGGUGAGUAAUGCGUAGGAAUCUACCUAGUAGUACGGAAUAGCCAUUAGAAAUGGUGGGUAAUACUGUAUAAUCCCCGAGGGGGAAAGAUUUAUCGCUAUUAGAUGAGCCUACGUUAGAUUAGCUAGUUGGUGAGGUAAUGGCUUACCAAGGCUAUGAUCUAUAGCUGGUCUGAGAGGACGAUCAGCCACACUGGAACUGAGAUACGGUCCAGACUCCUACGGGAGGCAGCAGUGGGGAAUAUUGGACAAUGGGCGAAAGCCUGAUCCAGCUAUGCCGCGUGAGUGAAGAAGGCCUUCGGGUUGUAAAACUCUUUCAAUAGGGAAGAUAAUGAGGGUACCUAUAA